rnacentral:rRNA from 1 species
UGGGGAAUAUUGGACAAUGGGCGCAAGCCUGAUCCAGCCAUGCCGCGUGAGUGAUGAAGGCCCUAGGGUUGUAAAGCUCUUUCACCGGUGAAGAUAAUGACGGUAACCGGAGAAGAAGCCCCGGAUAACUUCGUGCCAGCAGCCGCGGUAAUACGAAGGGGGCUAGCGUUGUUCGGAUUUACUGGGCGUAAAGCGCACGUAGGCGGACUUUUAAGUCAGGGGUGAAAUCCCGGGGCUCAACCCCGGAACUGCCUUUGAUACUGGAAGUCUUGAGUAUGGUAGAGGUGAGUGGAAUUCCGGGUGUAGAGGUGAAAUUCGUAGAUAUUCGGAGGAACACCAGUGGCGAAGGCGGCUCACUGGACCAUUACUGACGCUGAGGUGCGAAAGCGUGGGGAGCAAACAGG